CCGCCCAUCAGCUGCACGUGCGACGGAAGCUCCCGGGCGGCCCGGCCCUGGUGUCUGUAGUGGUGUCUCAUGCUCCUAGCGAUUUGCUCCUCAAAGCCGACUCCGGAGAGAGAAGAGUAAGCUCUACAUCCGAAAUGAGGCUUGAACUCAUGACCCCAAGAUCAAGAGUUGCAUGCUUCACUGACUAAGCCAGCCAGGCACCCCUCGUACAGGUAAGUUUAAACAUCUUUUCACAUAUUUAGGAGCCAUUCUUUUUCUGUGAUUUUUUUUUUAAUUCAUGUACUUUGCCCAUUUUUUUUCUAUUGGAUUAUCAGAAUCUUUCAGUUCCAAAGAAGUGUUUAUGUAUUAGGGAGAUUAGCCCUUUGAUUUGAGCUGCAAAUAUUUUUUCCCAUUUUGCUGUUUGACGUUGUUUAUAUCUUUUUUUUUUUUAUUUCCAUAAGGAAUGUUUUCAUCCUUAUACAUUUGAAAUCAUUAGCCUUUCCUUGGAGGCUUUGGAUUUUUUUUUUAAGAUUUUAUUUAUUCAUUUGAGAGAGAGCGAGAGCGAGAGAGAGAGAGAGCGAGCAUGAGCAGGGGGAGGGGCAGAAGGAGAGGGAGAAGCAGAUUCUUCCCACUGAGCCUGAAGCCCCAGGCAAGGCCAAUCACAGGACCAUGAUAUGGUGACCUGAGCUGAAGGAAGAUGCUUAACUGAGUCACUGAGAUGCCCCCAGGCUUUUUUUUUUUUUUUU
rnacentral:lncRNA from 12 species